rnacentral:misc_RNA from 1 species
UCCGAGUUGUCCCCGGCAGUCUCCUAUGAGUCCCCGGCCGAACCGCUGGUAACAUAGGACAAGGGUUGCGCUCGUUGCGGGACUUAACCCAACAUCUCACGACACGAGCUGACGACAGCCAUGCACCACCUGUCAUGGGCCCUAAUGGACACCGUAUUUCUACGGCUUUUCCCAUGAUGUCAAGCCCAGGUAAGGUUCUUCGGGUUGCAUCGAAUUAAGCCGCAUGCUCCGCCGCUUGUGCGGGGACCCGUCAAUUCCUUUGAGUUUUAGCCUUGCGGCCGUACUCCCCAGGCGGGAUACUUAAUGCGUUAGCUUCGGCACGGCAGUCAUUGGUAUAACCGCCACACCUAGUAUCCAACGUUUACGGCGUGGACUAC